UACGGAGGAUGCGAGCGUUAUCCGGAUUUAUUGGGUUUAAAGGGUGCGUAGGCGGGCUGUUAAGUCAGCGGUAAAAUUUGGAGGCUCAACCUCCACGAGCCGUUGAAACUGGGGAUCUAGAGUGUGCGAGAGGUAUGCGGAAUGCGUGGUGUAGCGGUGAAAUGCAUAGAUAUCACGCAGAACCCCGAUUGCGAAGGCAGCAUGCCGGCUCCACACUGACGCUGAGGCACGAAAGCGUGGGGAGCAAAUAGG
rnacentral:rRNA from 1 species